UCCAGACUCCUACGGGAGGCAGCAGUGGGGGAUAUUGCACAAUGGGGGGAACCCUGAUGCAGCGACGCCGCGUGGGUGAAGGAGCGUUUCGGCGCGUAAAGCCCUAUCGGCAGGGAAGAAGGAGGACGGUACCUGACUAAGAAGCCCCGGCUAACUACGUGCCAGCAGCCGCGGUAAUACGUAGGGGGCAAGCGUUAUCCGGAUUUACUGGGUGUAAAGGGGGCGCAGACGGCAGCGCAAGCCGGGAGUGAAAGCCCGGGGCCCAACCCCGGGACUGCUCUUGGAACUGCGCGGCUGGAGUGCAGGAGGGGCAGGCGGAAUUCCUGGUGUAGCGGUGAAAUGCGUAGAUAUCAGGAGGAACACCGGUGGCGAAGGCGGCCUGCUGGACUGCGACUGACGUUGAGGCCCGAAAGCGUGGGGAGCAAACAGGAUUAGAUACCCCCGUA
rnacentral:rRNA from 1 species